CUGGAGAUGAAACACUGAUUGCUUCUGUUGAGUAAUGAAUUGGCAGUGGCUUCAAGCAACAUUCUAAGGCCUUUAUGUCUUCAGGAAAUUUCUCAGGAGGUUUUACAGCUUCACUCUUCAGGGAAUUUCAUGAUGAAAACAGGGCAUCUAGAGGACUUCCAGAUUCUGAAGUUUCCUGCAACUGAAGUUCUGAGCAGCUCUGUUUCUCCUCAGAAGAUCUGUCUGUGUGCAUAUGUCAGCCCAGAAAGAUUGCGGCCCCUCUGUCAGCCCAGGUGUUCUGCUUUGAAAAUAGUUGUUCACAAAAGUACAUACUGCCAGAAAGAGAUGACACAGAUAAGGUGUGAUGGUGAAGCGAGGGAUAUUUUUCUCAG
rnacentral:lncRNA from 1 species